GACGAACGCUGGCGGCGUGCUUAACACAUGCAAGUCGAACGGAAAGGCCAUGCUUUUGUGGGGUGCUCGAGUGGCGCACGGGUGAGUGAAACGUGAGUAAACUGCCCUUGUCUUUGGGAGAACUUCAGGAGACUCGGGCUAUUACCGGGUAGGAGAUCCUGCUGCAUGGGGGGCGUUGGAAAGUGUCGGCGGUUGGGGAUGGACUCGAGGCUUCUCAGCUUGAUGGUGAGGUAGGGGCUUAACAACGCUGUGAAGGGUAGGCGGCCUGGGAGGGUGACCGGCGUCAGUGGGACUACGAGACGGCGCAGACGCCUACGGGAGGCAGCAGUCGGGAAUAUUGCAGAACAGGCGGAAGCCAGAUACAGCAACGCUGCGAGCGUGAUGCCGGCUUUCGGGUUGUAAACAGAUUUCUCAUGUGACGAAGCGUGAGUGACGGUAAUGGGUAAAGAAGCACCGGCUAACUACGUG
rnacentral:rRNA from 1 species